CGCUGGCGGCAGGCUUAACACAUGCAAGUCGAGCGCCCCGCAAGGGGAGCGGCAGACGGGUGAGUAACGCGUGGGAACGUACCCUUUUCUACGGAAUAACCCAGGGAAACUUGGACUAAUACCGUAUGUGCCCUUCGGGGGAAAGAUUUAUCGGAAAAGGAUCGGCCCGCGUUGGAUUAGCUAGUUGGUGGGGUAAAGGCCUACCAAGGCGACGAUCCAUAGCUGGUCUGAGAGGAUGAUCAGCCACAUUGGGACUGAGACACGGCCCAAACUCCUACGGGAGGCAGCAGUGGGGAAUAUUGGACAAUGGGCGCAAGCCUGAUCCAGCCAUGCCGCGUGAGUGAUGAAGGCCCUAGGGUUGUAAAGCUCUUUCACCGGUGAAGAUAAUGACGGUAACCGGAGAAGAAGCCCCGGCU
rnacentral:rRNA from 1 species